UUAUAAGAGACAGCAGUAGCCGCGGUAAUACAGAGGGUGCAAGCGUUAAUCGGAUUUACUGGGCGUAAAGGGCGCGUAGGUGGUUAUGUAAGUGAGAUGUGAAAUCCCCGGGCUCAACCUGGGAACUGCAUCUUAUACUGCGUAGCUGGAGCGCAGUAGAGGGUAGUGGAAUUUCCGGUGUAGCGGUGAAAUGCGUAGAUAUCGGAAGGAACACCAGUGGCGAAGGCGGCUACCUGGACUGACACUGACACUGAGGCGCGAAAGCGUGGGGAGCAAACAGGAUUAGAUACCCCUGUAGUCCCUGUCUCUUAUAC
rnacentral:rRNA from 1 species